rnacentral:rRNA from 1 species
GACGUAGGGCGCAAGCGUUGUCCGGAAUUAUUGGGCGUAAAGAGCUCGUAGGCGGCUUGUUGCGUCGACUGUGAAAAACCACGACUCAACCGUGGGACUGCAGUCGAUACGGGCAGGCUAGAGUUCGGUAGGGGAGACUGGAAUUCCUGGUGUAGCGGUGAAAUGCGCAGAUAUCGUAAGGAAGACCAGUGGCGAAGGCGAAUCUCUGGACAGUUACUGACACUGAGGCACGAAGGCCAGGGGAGCAAACGGG